UCAGGCCUAACACAUGCAAGUCGUACGAGGUGUAAAUAAUUCACUUGUGAAUUGUUUAUUACUACAGUGGCGCACGGGUGAGUAACACGUAAGAACCUGCCUUUUGGAGGGGGAUAACAUAGGGAAACCUUUGCUAAUACCCCAUAAAGCUGAGGAGCUAAAUCGCAUUUGCGGCCAAGAGAGGGGCUUGCGCCUGAUUAGCUAGUUGGGGAGGUAAUGGCUUCCCAAGGCCACGAUCAGUAGUUGGUCUGAGAGGAUGAUCAGCCACACUGGGACUGAGACACGGCCCAGACUCCUACGGGAGGCAGCAGUGAGGAAUUUUCCGCAAUGGGCGAAAGCCUGACGGAGCAAUACCGCGGAAGGAAAAGGGAUCGUGGUCUGUAAACUUCUUUUCUCAGAGAAGAAGAU
rnacentral:rRNA from 1 species